CUCCGCCUGACUUCUUAGUGCUUCCCCGUCACUAAGCAUCUUGAGGCGGGGAAAGGGCUUCAGUCCAGACCGAAUAGAAUACAUUCGAAUCCACGUAGUAAUAUCACUGCAUUUUGACAUCAUUUGCCGAUGUUAACGUUCACCUCACGGUACUUGAAGCCAUCCACAUCCUACAUAUAGCUGAGAAGAUUGAGGCAUAUAUGGAUCUGUUCAAUCUAUUCAUGAAUUUGCUGAGUCUUUCUUCUGGCAGUUCAAAUCUACUGAGGAGCAUCAUUUGUGAAUUUUAACAUUUCAGGUCGUGUUCCCAUGAAGAUAGAUGGAGGUUUGUUGGAGGUGUGUCAUGAAUCUGCUGAUAGUAUCCUUAAAGGAGGUUAAAAAGGAGAAGACACAGAAACAUCUGUGGUGAAGAAGGCCAUAUGAAGAUGGAGGCAGAAAUCUGUUAUACUAACACAAGCCAAGGAUCAUUGGGAGCCACCAGAAGCCAAAAGAGGCGAGUAGAGCCUCUCCCUGAGAGCCUAGGAGUGGACACAGGCUUAUUGACUCUGAUUUUACUCUUCUAGUCUCCAGAAUAAGGGAAUCCAUUUCUCCUGUUUUAAGCAAUCCUGGGAAACCAAUACAAUGCCCAUUGUUUCUAAGUGUGAAGUAUGGUGGCUUGGACUUUGGCCUUUAUUUUUAAAGAUUAGGCAUGGGGCAGAAACUUUUUGAGGACAGACUGAUUCUAUUUUUUAGUCACUGAAAACAAAAUUCAGUAUUUUUGAUGUGGUUGCUUGAGGGGCGGAAUAUAUUAGAGAAAAAGAACCAUGACAUUCUAUCCCAAAAAAGCUGUUCUUUUACAUUUUUGGUCCCCUUCUAAUGUCUUCUUGUUUGGGUGAGGCGUCACUGCAUCCAUCUUGUCGUCUUCACCUUCCACAACCAAUCAGCCAUAAAUCCUGAUAAUAACUCCCCAAUGUCAUCUUUUUUUAAAAAAGAUUUAUUUAUUUAGUUGACAGGCAGAGUUACAGAGGGAAGAGGAGAGAGAGGGAGAGAGGGAGAGAGGGAGAAAGAAUCUUCCAUUCACUAGUUCAAUCUCCAAAUGGCCACAAUGGCUGAAGCCACAAGCCAGGAGCUUCUUCUGGGUUUCCCACAUGGGUGCAGGGGCUGAAGGACUUGGACCAUCUUCAGCUGCUUUCUCAGGCACGUUAGCAGGGAGCUGGAUUGGAAGUGGAGCAGCUGGGACUUGAACUGAUGUCCAUAUGAGAAUGAUGGCCCUGCAGGUGGUAGCUUUAUUCGCUAUGCCACAGCGCUGCCCCCGAUCCAGUGUCAUUCUAAUCUAUCCUCUUAUCCACCUCUUCUGCACCUAAAUCCAGGCUUCAUCACAUCUUGCUGGGGUGCCACUGGGAUCUCCUACCUGGCCUCCAUGCCUUUUCUAUUGUUGUUCUGCAAAACAUUUUGCAGCCAGGGUAUCUUAUGCAUUCUUCACAUCCCCAAAUGCCACUUAAAAUACUAUCAUACCUUUCUGGUUCUCUUAGAUAAGGGUCGAUAUCCUUAAUCUGUACUAUAAUGUUACCAACCCUCCAAACUCAUUUCUCCAUUGCCUGCUUCUCUCUGUUUUCUUUUUCCUAUUAGUGAACUUUUGUCAAUUACUCAGAGAAGUUUGUGCUACUUGUCACAAGGGCUUCCCUCAUGCUGUUUCCUGGGACUGCAACAUCUUUCUUUCCUACCUCGUUUCAUAAUUAACAUUCACUCUUCCUUCACCACCUUUUUUUAAAUAAAGAUUUAUUUAUUUAUUUGAGAGACAGAGUUACAGAGAGAGAGAGGAGAGAGGGAGAAACAGAGAGAGAGGUCUUUUGUCCGCUGGUUCACUUCCCGAAUGGCUGCAGUGACUGGAGUUGGGCUGAUUAAAAGCCAGCAUCCAGGAGCUUCCUCUGAGUCUCCCAUGUGGGUUCAGGGGCCCAAGCACUUGGGCCAUCUUUCCUUCUUUCCCAGGCCAUCAGCAGGGAGCUGGACAGGAAGUGGAGUAGCUGGGAAUUGAACUAGCACCCAAAUGGGAUGCCAGUGCUGCAGAUGGAGGCUUAACCUACUAUGCCACAAUGCCAGUCCCCCUUCACUUCCUUGAUCAGUUAUCAUUUGCCCAGGAAAGUGUUCCCUGGCCUUGAUUAUGACCAGUUUUCCUUGUAUCAUGGUUCCUCUGUUAGCAGUUAUAACAGUUUCACUGUUUGUUAGAUUUGUUUGUUUGCCACCUACUGAAAUCUAUGCUCUUGAGAGUAGGGGCUCAAUAAAUUUUUUAUAAGUGAAUUCAUGAACAACAAAUGGAUGAGUGAAUGAAUAAAUGAAAUCAAUGAGGUAAUGAAGAGAAUGAAUGAACAAAGUUUGGUCCAGCUGACAGUGUUGUAAGUCUAGUCCUUGCAAGAUAUGAGGAUCACAAAAUAUUACUUCCUCUAGAAUCUGAAAGUUUGUGCUUUUCAGUCACAAACAAGAGACUAGCUCUGGCUAGGUGAAGUAGAAGAGAUCUGCUGAAACACAGUGGCAGUUCUAGAAAACCAGACUUGUAGACUCUGCAGUCAGCACAGUGCCCAUCAUUGUGUAUACAUUUUUUUUGUGGAGGUGCCAUCAUUACUACCACACCCAGAUUGGAUGAUCUGUGCUGCUGCUUGAAUCAUAACUCCUUUGGAAUCCAGUUGUAGCUGCUGUUUCUGCUGCCAUUUCACCAAAAUUAUUUCUAUGUUAUCCCUUUUUCUUUGAGUCCCCAAUUUCCUUUUCUAAGUCUGAGGUGGAAUUUCUAAGUCUGAGGUGUUUUUAGCAUUUUUAGCUCCACUAAUGGGAGGUGAGGUCAGUCUUACAAGGUUGGGCAAAUACCAACCAUGUUAGGAGUGUAUAGAUGUUGAAGAAAACAAAGAUAAUGAUUGUUUACUGUAACCCACUUGACUAUACAAUAUUAACAUACUUUCCUCCAUUAUUUACAUUAUACAAUAAAAACUGUAUCUGUCUGGUGAAGUUAUCACACUGCAUAUGAGAUAAAGGCACAUCAGUUACUACAUCUACCUCUAAGCCAGCAUCUCUGGUUCUAUCAUGUCAUGACUCAAUAUUCUGAACUAAAUUCUAAAGUUUACUACUACCACAACACCAUAUGUAAAAGAGUAGGAGAAAAGUGUACAAAAAAGAAUAAAAUCAUAUAAGUAAAUACAUGAAGCUACAAGUCUACAAAGCUAUGGUCCUUGUUUCUGUAACCAAUCAUCAGGCUAUAGCUGAAAAUUUAAUUUUCUUUCUCCACUUGCCAUUUUAAUGAUUCUUUUGUGUUCAUCCACUUUGGCUGAUCAGGAUUCUUUACCAGCAUUCUAGAUCUCCAUUACUUAGGGAUAUAAACCCUCUCUGUAUAAUGUUGCUAUUGUCUUUUAGUGAAUUUUACUACUGAAUAUGAAAGUAGAAUAAGGUCUCACGGGGAGAACUUUCCUUUGUGAAAGAGAAGUCCUGCUUGCCCUUAAUAAGUAGAAUCAUUCAUGCUAAUGAGCAACCUCUUUUUUUACCAUUUUGUCUUAAGAGCUCCAAAUUAUAUAUCUCUAUGCCCAAAUCGUUCAUGUCACUGUUGUAUCUCUGGUGGACAAAACCUCUAAAUCAUCAUUGCUCAUGUGGAGGAGAUGAGAUGCAGACAUUUUGAGAUGAGUUGUUAAGUAUAAUAAUGUGAAGUUCAAACCAAAUUGCUUUGAAGAUCCACACAUAUUGACAAGGGGAGAAAAAAUAAUAUAUAUUGAUUUCUGGUUUGUAGUAUAUAUUAUAUCACAUUGAAGGCAUUUUAAUAUCAUAUGCCAGUGUCUAAAAUGAAUCUUUAAUAGGCCAUUCCAUUGUUCCACUAUACCAACUGCUUUUGGGUCAUGAGGAAAGCAGUUAAACUGGUGAAUCUCAUGGGCAUUGAUCCUUUGUUGUAUCUAUCUCAUUGCAAAGUGAGUUCCUUGAUCAGAAGUAACAGCACAUGUUAUAUCAUGAUGGUGAUUAAGUCCAUGGAUAAAGAAACUACCAGAGAAGCACUAUGAUCAGGAAUAGAAAAUAUUAGCACAGAGUAAGUAAGGGCAAAGUAAUCAGAAAUACCUUUCCCCUAUGUGAUCAAAAGGGUACAAUUACCUCAAAUCCAUUAGGUGGAUGGCUAAUUCCCCUGGUAUAUGGUAUCACAGAAGACUUAGUGUUGAUCUCUGCUACUAGCAAGUACAAUCCACAGAAAUGCAACAGUGUUAGCCUUGGUGAGAGGUAGUACAUAUUGUCGUAUAACUUUAAUUUCUGUCUCUAUAGCCACCUUGUUCAUGAACUCAAUGAGCAAAUAUGGGUUGGCAGGGGAAGGAGACUAAGAAAUACCUUUUUAUAAAAAGUCUCCUGCCCUAGGGCAUUGGAUCAUCAUUCACAAAGGACACAAAUAUUCUUUUAACCUAGGGAAUUGAUUCUUUCAUUCUGACUAUCUGGCUGAGCCAUUAGCUGUGGCCCAUACAUGAUAUCUUUGUUAUUUCAGGUCUUCUCUGCUUCUAUGGAAAGUGGCCCACAAGAAGAACUAAUCAAAGUACCAACUGCAGCAGCUCACUCUAAAGAAGUUAUCUGUAGGGCCUGGUACUAUGGUUUAGUAGGCUAAGCCUUUGCCUGCAGCUCUGGCAUCCUCUAUGGACACCACUUUGUGUCCCAGCUGCUCCUUCCAAUCAAGCUCUCUGCUUGUGGCCCUGGAAAGCAGUGGAUAAUGGCCCAAGUGCUUCGGGCCCUGCAUCUGUUUGGGGGAACUGGAAGAAGCUCCUGGAUCCCUGCUUCAGACUGGCUCAGCUCCAGCCAUUGUGACCAUUUUGGGUGUGAACCAACGGAUGGAAUUCCUUUCUGCUGUCUCUCCUUCUCUCUGUAACUCUACCUCUCAAAAAAAAAAAAAUGUCUGGAAAUCAUGUAAAUCAGUCUUGAAACAUCCUCUUGGUCAACCAGCCCACAGAGAAUGUCUCUUCAGAUUUUAAAAUUCUAUUUAUGGAGAGGACAGCAUCCAGCUUUUAGGGGUGAAGCUUCAGUGGUGGACACAUAGGAAAUUUGAGCCAUCUACUUAUAUCUUUAAGAUACUCUCAAACCUGAUUUCAUA